CUUGAUGACUCUGAGCAGAUUUGAGCCCAGUCUGGCUCAGAGACUGUUUUCAUGCUAAUACUGUUGGUGAUUCAUCAUGUUUUUCAUUUUCCUAAUGGUAGUUGAGGACCUGGUUCUCUAUGGCAUUGGCUUUCUGAUGCGUGUCUGGAAUAAAGAAGGAAUGGUUAUAAAACAAAUCUGUGAGAACAAAGACAUAAGAAACUCAUGAGGCCACAAGCAACCCUGAUGGUGGGGCGGAUGCUGGCACAACUUGUCAGAGGCUGGCAGCUGGUGUGCAGACCAAAGCCUAGUGAACCUGGGGCCUAAAUGUCAACGUGUGGCUAUCAGGACAGGAAUAAAGGCAUUGAUGUAACACUG
rnacentral:lncRNA from 1 species